rnacentral:rRNA from 1 species
UACGUAGGUGACCAGCGUUGUCCGGAUUUACUGGGCGUAAAGAGCGCGCAGGCGGUCCAAUAAGUCGAGUGUGAAAGCCCCCGGCUCAACUGGGGAGGGUCAUUCGAUACUGAUGGACUUGAAGGCAGGAGAGGGAUGCGGAAUUCCCGGUGUAGUGGUGAAAUGCGUAGAUAUCGGGAGGAACACCAGUGGCGAAGGCGGCAUCCUGGCCUGUUCUUGACGCUGAGGCGCGAAAGCUAGGGGAGCAAACGGG